rnacentral:rRNA from 1 species
CCUACGGGUGGCAGCAGUGAGGAAUAUUGGUCAAUGGACGAGAGUCUGAACCAGCCAAGUAGCGUGAAGGAUGACUGCCCUAUGGGUUGUAAACUUCUUUUAUAUGGGAAUAAAACACGGUAUGCAUACCCUCUUGUAUGUACCAUAUGAAUCAGGAUCGGCUAAAUCCGUGCCAGCAGCCGCGGUAAUACGGAGGUUGCGAGCGUUAUCCGGUUUUAUUGGGUUUAAGGGUUGCGUAGACGGACUGUUAAGUCAGGGGUAAAGGCCCGGGGCUCAACCCCGGCGAGCCGUUGAAGCUGGGUGUCUAGAGAUGUCGAGAGGUAUGCGGAAUGCGCAGUGUAGCGGUGAAAUGCUUAGAUAUUGCGCAGAACACCGAUUGCGAAGGCAGCAUACCGGCGGCGAUCUGACGCUGAGGCACGAAAGCGUGGGUAUCGAACAGGAUUAGAGACCCCAGUAGUC